rnacentral:lncRNA from 1 species
AAAAAAACAGCAUGUUAAAAUAAACUAGCAUUACAUUGUAAUCCAACAAAAGUUUAUCAACAUACAUAACAACAACAUUAACAUAACAACAACAACCAAAAACAAAUCAUGCAAAACAUAAAAAAGUCUUCAAUCUUCAUGCUUAGUUGAAUUCGUACAGUUCUCAGGGUCUUCAUUCUCAAAGUCAUCAUAACUCUCAAGGUCUUCAUCUGAUUUGAAAUCAGUUGCAUCCAAACUCAUUAGAUACUU